rnacentral:lncRNA from 1 species
UGACCAUUUUGUCCUUUGAACAAGAACAGAGCUAGUUUGAAGUAAAACUUAACUGAAAUGGGAAGAAAAUUGUCCUCAAUGAGUCCUCAGCACCAGCUGAAUCUCUUCCUAUGGCACUGAACUUCUUGCACGUCUAUGUACAGCCUCCAGAGAACUGCAGUAAGCACCAGAAAUUCCUUUCCAUUCUUCAUAAGGAAAAAUUCCAGCCUCAAUGGAUUGUGGAUUUCUCAGGAAUUGAUUGUCCAAAGAUGAUAAAGAUACUGGCAUUGCUGUACAAAUAAAGGUGGAAGGUCUGGUCCAGAGUGAAGAACAACAGAAUUUUGGGUGGCUCUGGAGACUUGGGAAAUUCAAAAAGAGAAGCACAGUGAGUCAAAAUCUACUGUUUGUAAUGUGGUGCUAAAACCCACCACAGAAUCAUUAUGUGACUUGAUGACCCAGACAAUAACCAAUUUCCCAGUUCAUGGGAGGAGCCCACAGAGGAAAACAACAAAUACCUAAGGCAAUGCACUAAGGAACCUCAUGAUGUUGUCUAGAAACACUGAAGGAGAUCCAAACUGGAAAAUGCAGAGGAGCAAAUCUGAGGAAUCAUACACUGCAGGACAGAUACUCCGUGGGAGAAAGGGAACAGAAAGGUAGCAAGGCUGAAAAAGAUCUGAGCAGUAUACAUAGGAAGAAGGGUCAGAACUGGGAUUGAGCUGUUCAGUAAAAACAAAAAAAUAAGCCCAAACUAACAGCCAGUGCAAUUUGCAGCUCUUUUAC